rnacentral:lncRNA from 1 species
AUGAGAUUGGAAACAGGCUUGAUACAAUGAACGGCAGGCUGGAGGAAUGAAUUAGUGACCUAGAAGACAAAAUAGUGGAAAAUAAUGAAGCUGAACAAAAGAGAAAAAGAAUUGUGCGACAUGAGAAUAGACAAGGAACUCAGUGACCUCAUCAAGUGUAACAGCAUUUAUAUUAUUAGAGUCACAAAAGAAGAGAGAGAAAAAGAGGCAGAAAUUUUAUUUUAAGAAAUAGCAGAAAACUUCCUUAAUCUGGAGAAGGAUAUCCAGAUCCAGGAGGCACAGAAAACACCCAUCAACAGCAUCAGGUCCCAGCACUGUGAGUGUGAUGACACAGUAGCCAGUUGGAAGUCUCACCUGAGGGGAGGACCGUCUAUCCAGGCCUCUCGAUCUGUGCUUCAGCCUGGCUGUCUCCAUGGGGCUUCCCUGGUUGGAUGUUGUAAGUACCCAGUUUGCCUACUAUUACUUUCCUUUCUGUGUAGAUUCCUUUCCUCUACUGCUUCAUAUAGGUUCCUGUAAUGAUAAUAAAGUUUUCUUUCCACUUUGAAAACA